rnacentral:rRNA from 1 species
AUUGAACGAUGGCGGAAGGCCUAACACAUGCAAGUCGACCGAGUGGCGGACGGGUGAGUAAUGUCUGGGAAACUGCCUGAUGGAGGGGGAUAACUACUGGAAACGGUAGCUAAUACCGCAUACCAUCGGAUGUGCCCAGAUGGGAUUAGCUAGUAGGUGGGGUAACGGUUCACCUAGGCGACGAUCCCUAGCUGGUCUGAGAGGAUGCCCAGCAACACUGGAACUGUGACACGGUCCAGAAUCCUACGGGAGGCAGCAGUGGGGAAUAUUGCACAAUGGGCGCAAGCCAGAUGCAGCCAUGCCGCGUGUAUGAAGAAGGCCGUCGGGUGGGAAAGUACUUGCAGCGGGGAGGCGUUACCCGCAGAAGAAGCACCGGCUAACUCCGUGCCAGCAGCCGCGGUAAUUC